CCAGACUCCUACGGGAGGCAGCAGUGGGGAAUAUUGCACAAUGGGGGAAACCCUGAUGCAGCGACGCCGCGUGAGUGAAGAAGUCAUUCGUGAUGUAAAGCUCUAUCAGCAGGGAAGAAAAUGACGGUACCUGACCAAGAAGCCCCGGCUAACUACGUGCCAGCAGCCGCGGUAAUACGUAGGGGGCAAGCGUUAUCCGGAUUUACUGGGUGUAAAGGGAGCGUAGACGGUUGCGCAAGUCUGGAGUGAAAGGCGGGGGCCCAACCCCCGGACUGCUUUUGAAACUGUCAGGCUGGAGUACAGGAGAGGUAAGCGGAAUUCCUAGUGUAGCGGUGAAAUGCGUAGAUAUUAGGAGGAACACCAGUGGCGAAGGCGGCUUACUGGACUGUAACUGACAC
rnacentral:rRNA from 1 species